rnacentral:rRNA from 1 species
UGGGGAAUAUUGCACAAUGGGCGAAAGCCUGAUGCAGCAACGCCGCGUGAGUGAUGAAGGCCUUCGGGUUGUAAAGCUCUGUCUUUUGGGACGAUAAUGACGGUACCAAAGGAGGAAGCCACGGCUAACUACGUGCCAGCAGCCGCGGUAAUACGUAGGUGGCAAGCGUUGUCCGGAUUUACUGGGCGUAAAGGAUGCGUAGGCGGAUUUUUAAGUGAGAUGUGAAAUACCCGGGCUUAACUUGGGUGCUGCAUUUCAAACUGGGAAUCUAGAGUGCGGGAGAGGAGAAUGGAAUUCCUAGUGUAGCGGUGAAAAUGCGUAGAGAUUAGGAAGAACACCAGUGGCGAAGGCGAUUCUCUGGACCGUAACUGACGCUGAGGCAUGAAAGCGUGGUAGCAAACAGGAUUAGAUACCCUGGUAGUCCACGCCGUAAACGAUGAGUACUAGGUGUAGGAGGUAUCGACCCUUCUGUGCCGCAGUUAACACAAUAAGUACUCCGCCUGGGAAGUACGAUCGCAAGAUUAAAAACUUAAAAUGAAUUGAC